UACGUAGGGGCGAGCGUUGUCCGGAAUGAUUGGGCGUAAAGGGCGCGUAGGCGGCUUGUUAAGUCUGGAGUGGAAGUCCUCUUUUCAAGGGAGGAAUUGCUUUGGAAACUGGCGGGCUUGAGUGCAGGAGAGGUUAUCGGAAUUCCCGGUGUAGCGGUGAAAUGCGUAGAGAUCGGGAGGAACACCAGUGGCGAAGGCGGGUAACUGGACUGCAACUGACGCUGAGGCGCGAAAGUGUGGGGAGCAAACAGGAUUAGAUACCCGUGUAGUCCCUGAGCGGG
rnacentral:rRNA from 1 species